CAAUAGCGUAUAUUAAAGUUGUUGCAGUUAAAAAGCUCGUGGUUGGAUUUCUGGUGGGAGCGAUCGGUCUGGCGCUUAGCGCGAGUACUUGCAUCGUCUCCGGCCAUCCUUGGGGAGAGUCUGUCUGGCAUUAGGUUGUCGGGCAGAGGAUCCUCAUCGUUUACUGUGAAAAAAUUAGAGUGUUCAAAGCAGGCUUAUGCCGUUGAAUAUAUUAGCAUGGAAUAAUAAGAUAGGACUUUGGUACUAUUUUGUUGGUUUGCGCACCAGAGUAAUGAUUAAUAGGGACAGUUGGGGGUAUUCGUAUUCCGUUGUCAGUGGUGAAAUUCUUGGAUUUACGGAAGACGAACUACUGCGAAAGCAUUUACCAAGGAUGUUUUCAUUAA
rnacentral:rRNA from 1 species